rnacentral:tRNA from 1 species
GGGGAUUUAGCUCAGUGGUAGAGCACUUGCCUAGCAAGCGCAAGGCCCUGGGUUCGAUCCCCAGUUCCA